UGCGCGCGCCCGUGAGGACAAGUGGGAAGGGGGCCCCAGCUCAGGACAGGGAGGCCCUCUUUGCAGGUCUCGGGGUCCAGGUGGCGACACGAGCGCUCGGUCUGCCGGCAGCGGGCGGGUGGUGCCCCAGCCCCUCCCCCGCGCGUGCGCGCCCGGGUCCGCCCUCCCCGCAGCUUUGGAUCCCGCGCGGCGACGGCGGUUCCUUCCCCCUCCCCCAGCCCUGGCUCCGGGGGACCCCGCGAUGCCGGUCUGCACCGAGUGUCCCCCGCCGGCGGGUGCCUCAGCCACAUCCGCGGCCUCACUCAUCCCGCCGCCGCCCAUCAACACCCAGCAGCCCGGCGUGGCCACCAGCUUGCUCUACAGCGGCUCCAAGUUCCGUGGCCACCAGAAGAGCAAGGGGAACUCGUACGACGUAGAGGUGGUGCUGCAGCACGUGGACACUGGGAACUCUUACCUUUGUGGGUACCUGAAGAUUAAAGGCCUUACAGAGGAAUAUCCGACCCUUACAACCUUCUUUGAAGGAGAAAUAAUAAGCAAAAAACACCCUUUCUUAACUCGGAAGUGGGACGCAGAUGAAGACGUGGAUCGGAAACACUGGGGCAACUUUCUGGCUUUUUAUCAGUAUGCAAAAUCAUUUAAUUCAGAUGACUUUGAUUAUGAAGAACUGAAAAAUGGGGAUUAUGUCUUCAUGAGGUGGAAGGAGCAGUUCCUAGUCCCGGAUCACACAAUCAAAGACAUCAGCGGUGCUUCCUUUGCUGGCUUCUACUACAUCUGCUUUCAGAAGUCAGCAGCCUCCAUAGAGGGCUACUACUACCAUCGGAGUUCAGAAUGGUAUCAGUCCCUCAACCUGACCCAUGUUCCUGAACACAGUGCACCCAUCUACGAGUUCCGGUGACAAUGGUUCAGAACAGUGGCCAAAUAAAACUGAACUUGGCAACAAAGAGCUUUGCCGAGGAAAUUAUGUACCUGCCAGAACCAGGAGAGGUGUGUUCCUGUUUCUUCAUGAGCAGACUUCAUCAGAAAGCAUGAAUGUUAACCUACAGGAUCCAAGGAGCAUGGCCAACCUGCAGGCAGGCAGAGGGAGCUGUCCACCUCCCACCCUCCUUACUCUCAGUGGCAUUGUGGUCACCAUCUGUUUCUGAGCAAUCUUAAAUGCACUUUCCUUCCUGCACAGCUAACUUCUGUAUCACUAAAAUGCCAUCUUUCCUUGGCCUGCCUCUAGCCAAGUGGAAGGUCAGCUCCUGGGUCACCUUAGCCUUGGUGCUCAGUGGUCUCCACCCAGGCCCUACUCCUUCCCCAGUUGCUGGUUUGGUAGCCCAAGGAAAGGCAGAGCCCAGCAUCUUGUGCCCCAGAGCUCUAUGUGAGGAGUUGUCUGGGCCCAGCAUCUACCACCAAUGAGAUGAGAUGGGGACCCUGGUGGGCCUCAUCGACCUUUGAUUCCAUUUGAUGUCUUGUGGGGCCCUGUGUGUUAACAGUACAAGACUAGCACAUGGUUGGGUUUUCUGGGCCUGCUGUUGGGGAUCACUAAAUUUAAGGCUUCCAGAUCCCUGGUGGGAGUAGAUCCCAAACUGCUUUCUCAGUACAUUUGCUCCAAACUUCUGAACUUGAGGGCAAUACUAAAAUAAAAGAGUUUUCUAUUACAAAAUUAUUAUUUUUAUGAUACCUUUAACAAGGACCCUAUGGCAAAUGCACAAUUAUUCCGAAUUACAUUUUAUCGUUUUCACAUUGAAAACAGCAAAUGUUGACUUAGUGAUUUUUAUAUCUAUGUCUAUAUGUAUAUUUAAUCAACCAGCAGUUUUAAAAUAAGUCAUCCUGGUACAAAAGUUUUCAGCAUUGCUUAAAUUACAGUGCUAAACACAAGAACUGUUU